GACGAACGCUGGCGGCGUGCUUAACACAUGCAAGUCGAACGAUGAAGCGGUGCUUGCACCGUGGAUUAGUGGCGAACGGGUGAGUAAUACGUGAGUGACCUACCUUUGACUCUGGGAUAAGCCUGGGAAACUGGGUCUAAUACCGGAUACGACCAAUCUCUGCAUGGGGUGUUGGUGGAAAGCGUCAUGGAGUGGUUUUAGAUGGGCUCACGGCCUAUCAGCUUGUUGGUGAGGUAAUGGCUUACCAAGGCGACGACGGGUAGCCGGCCUGAGAGGGUGACCGGCCACACUAGGAAUGAGAAACGGCCCAGACUCCUACGGGAGGCAGCAGUGGGGAAUAUUGCACAAUGGGCGCAAGCCUGAUGCAGCGACGCCGCGUGAGGGAUGACGGCCUUCGGGUUGUAAACCUCUGUUAGCAUCGAAGAAGCGAAAGUGACGGUAGGUGCAGAGAAAGCGCCGGCUAACUACGUG
rnacentral:rRNA from 1 species